GAAGCCAGGCCGAGCAGCCUGCCCCUUGCCCCCUCCUGGUGCCUCUCCCAGCUCCAGAUGGGUAGCCAGGAUGAGACAGGACCCAGGCCAGAGAAAGAGACAUGAGGGUGUCACAAGGGGCUGGUGGGGACAUCUGGGGGCUACUUGAAAGGGUCCCCAGGAGGGACUCAUGCUUCUCCGUGCAGGACGAUGGAGGAGUUGUUCAGCAUCUUUCCACUAUGAGGGCAAUGCCGCAAGAAUCGUGGAGGAGAGACCUGGAGCCUGGGCUCCCCUGGUCCCGGGAAUUAACCAAUCCCAGGACCACCGAGUUGGUGAGCUGUAGCCAAAAGCAUCCAGAAGAUGCAUGUCCUCACCCAGAGGCAGUGCGCCCCACCCACCCCUACCACGGACUCACUUUCCUCGUGGGGCUCACCCCGCUGAGGUGACCGCGUGACUGGAGCGCUAUCCUGCUCUUGGGUGGUUUGAUAAUUUUAUGACAAUAUCACCCAAAUAAGCUAAAAAUCCAAAGUCAUCUCUAUCAAAAUGCCAUGUAGAUCUUUGGAGAAGCUCAGUAAACCUACGCUACAACAGAAGGCCCAUGUCACCAAACAGUGAAGUCACCAUAAAAAUGGAGAAUACCUGAUGGGAAGACCCUACGAAUUCAUGGUCAGAGAACAGUUUCUUCUAACUGCACAAGAGGGCAGGAAGCUGGAGGUGGGGCUGGGGGGUAGGAGACCCUCACCUCGUACUCAGGGGCACUACCACCAAGAGGCGAAGAGCCAACUGUGUGGGAAAUGGUGUUGGGCACUGGAUCACUACAUGGAGAAAGUAAACAUGGCCUUGACUUAACGCUGCACGCAGAGGUGGCUCCAGAGAGAAUCAAGACCCGAAUGUAAAAGGCAACAAUUUGAAGUUAGAAGCAAGUGUAGGAGAAUCUUUGUAACAUCUGAGCAAGGAAGAAUUUCUUACACAAAGAUCCCAAAGCAUAAUCCAUAAGGCAAAAAACAAUGACAAAUCUGAUUCCAUCAAAACUAGCACUUCUUGCCAAUGGACACCACGGACAAGUUAGAAAGAGAUAAGAGGAUGGGAGAGAGACUUGCAAAGUUUGAAAUUAAGAGACCCGUAUCUCUGGAAUGGACAGGAACGCCUGUGAAUCAUCAAGGCUGAUGGACGGGGCAGUGACUGAGGCAGAGGCUUUGUUGGGACCUCAGGGCUGCAUACUGAACCUGAGAUCGGAACCACACAGCCCAGUGGGAGCCCCAGUGUUAACAGACAGAACAGGAAAAGUAUGUAGAGCAUCUUUACAGCCUGCCCCACCCCCCUAAGCUACAGCUCUUCACCCAUCAGUCCCACAGAAAUGAAGGGCUGGCAGCACCUGGUGUCGGGGAAGGUAUGAGGGGACGGGCAUGGGCUACACAGGUUCCUCUGAUGGAACACGGCUUUGGUUGAAGACUUUCCACCAAACCAUCUGGAAAAGAUAAGCCGCUUUCAGUGAGCACCCCCUUUUUCAUGUGACUACCAAGCACACUAAAUAAAUUUGCCAUAAAAGUGACAUUUUGACACUUUGAUUUGGGCACAGACAUGCCCAUCAAUUUGGUCAUCAUAGCAAUUUCUAGUCAAAGAAAGUCGUGGGGAGCCAAUGUGAACUGUGCCCCUGUCUGGAAGACCCCAAAUGUACUGCUU
rnacentral:lncRNA from 1 species